CAUGCUUGGCUCUUCCGCUGCACGAAGCAGACCUAGCUGUUACACGGCUGGCGGCCUAACGCAGUGGACCGUACAAGUGAAUGCCCGUAGUGCAGGUCGAGCAUCUAGGAUUAGUUUGGCAGGUCCACUAACUGGUUGGUCCCACGUGUCAUCCACACUAAUUUGUUUGUUUUCAUUCAGUUCGCCAAUUGGAAAUUGGAACUGCGGCUGAGCCGGGGUUUAGUAUAAAAAGAGCAGAUGAAAAAAAUGAAGCUCCUUCCCCGGUCCUCACCUUGAGCCCAGCGCAACCGUCUCAUCUUUCCCGUAUGCUAUCCUCUUCGACUCUUCUUCCCUUCCCAUCUCCUUCCUGCUUUCUUCCUCCUCCGCUCCUCUCCUUCGUGCUGGACGGCGCUUCUCCUGCCGCUACAGCUGCGCUGCCGCCAGGAAUAGCACUGGCCACCAGGAGAGGU
rnacentral:sRNA from 1 species